UACGUAGGGUGCAGGCGUUAAUCGGAAUUACUGGGCGUAAAGCGUGCGCAGGCGGUUUCUUAAGACAGGUGUGAAAUCCCCGGGCUUAACCUGGGAACUGCGCUUGUAACUGAGAGGCUAGAGUGUGGCAGAGGGGGGUGGAAUUCCACGUGUAGCAGUGAAAUGCGUAGAGAUGUGGAGGAACACCGAUGGCGAAGGCAGCCCCCUGGGCUAACACUGACGCUCAUGCACGAAAGCGUGGGGAGCAAACAGG
rnacentral:rRNA from 1 species